GACGAACGCUGGCGGCGUGCUUAACACAUGCAAGUCGAACGGAAAGGCCCUGCUUUUGUGGGGUGCUCGAGUGGCGAACGGGUGAGUAACACGUGAGUAACCUGCCCUUGACUUUGGGAUAACUUCAGGAAACUGGGGCUAAUACCGGAUAGGAGCUCCUGCUGCAUGGUGGGGGUUGGAAAGUUUCGGCGGUUGGGGAUGGACUCGCGGCUUAUC
rnacentral:rRNA from 1 species